GACGAACGCUGGCGGCGUGCUUAACACAUGCAAGUCGAACGGAAAGGCCCCCUUGUGGGGUACUCGAGUGGCGAACGGGUGAGUAACACGUGAGUAACCUACCCUUGACUUUGGGAUAACUUCAGGAAACUGGGGCUAAUACUGGAUAGGAGCUCCUGCUGCAUGGUGGGGGUUGGAAAGUUUCGGCGGUUGGGGAUGGGCUCGCGGCUUAUCAGCUUGUUGGUGGGGUAGUGGCUCACCAAGGCUUUGACGGGUAGCCGGCCUGAGAGGGUGACCGGCCACAUUGGGACUGAGAUACGGCCCAGACUCCUACGGGAGGCAGCAGUGGGGAAUAUUGCACAAUGGGCGGAAGCCUGAUGCAGCAACGCCGCGUGCGGGAUGACGGCCUUCGGGUUGUAAACCGCUUUCGCCUGUGACGAAGCGUGAGUGACGGUAAUGGGUAAAGAAGCACCGGCUAACUACGUG
rnacentral:rRNA from 1 species